AUGUCCAGCCUCCACCUCCUCCGCCACCGCUCCUCCUCCUUCACUCCCACCUCGCCGCCCUCACCCUCCUGGUCUCCGCACGCCGCCUUUACCGCUGCCACAGAGCGCGUCCGCGCCGGGACGCUCAGCCCGGAAGACGCACACCACCUGUUCGACCAAUUGCUACAGCAGUCCACUCCGGUCCCCGAGCAAGCCCUGAACGGCUUCCUUGCCGCCCUCACCCGUGCCCGUGCGCCAGACACCGAAGUCUGCAGAGACGGCCCCUCCCUUGCCCUCACGCUCUUCAACCGCGUAUGGCGAGAAGAAGCCGGCCGGCGGGUGGCGCUGCCCACAGUCCGCACCUACAACAUUCUGAUGAACUGCUGCUGCCGCGUGCGUCGUCCGGACCUAGGGCUUGCCUACUUCGGGCGCCUCCUAAGGACCAGCCUCAAAACAAAUGAGGUCGUCGCCAACACCGUCCUCAUGUGCCUCUGCUGCGCGAAACGGACAGAUGAAGCAGUAAACGUGCUGCUUCAUAGGAUGUCUGUGCUCGGCUGUGUGCCUGAUGAGUUCUCAUAUAACAUAGUUCUGAAGAGCUUAUGCAAAGAGGGAAGGAGCCAGCAAGCGCUCAACCUGCUCCAUGUGAUGGCAAAAGGAGAUGGUUGCUCCCCCGACGUGGUGGCUUAUAACACGGUCAUCUAUGGCUUCUUUAAGGAAGGUGAAGUAGGCAAGGCAUGCAAUCUAUUCCAUGAAAUGAUGCGGCAAGGGGUUGUGCCUGAUGUGGUGACGUAUAGCUCGAUUAUCGAUGCACUGUGCAAGGCUGGAGCAAUGGACAAGGCAGAGUUGUUCCUUCGGCAGAUGGUUGAUAACAGUGUUCAGCCGGAUACGGUGACAUAUACUAGCAUGAUCCAUGGAUAUUCCACUUUGGGCCGCUGGAAAGAGGCGACUAAAAUGUUAAGAGAAAUGACAAGCAGGGGCCUUAUACCAAAUAUUGUCACUUGGAACUCGUUCAUGGCCUCCCUUUGCAAGCAUGGAAAAAGCAAAGAAGCUGCAGAAAUUUUCUUUUCCAUGGCUGCAAGGGGCCACAAGCCUGAUAUCGUCUCCUACACUACUCUUCUUCAUGGGUAUGCCAAUGAAGGAAGCUUUGCUGAUAUGAUGAAACUCUUUAAUUCAAUGGUAGGCAACGGUAUUGUAGCCAACUGCCAAGUUUUCAACAUAUUAAUUGAUGCAUAUGCUCAACGAGGAAUGAUGGACGAAGCUAUGCUCAUAUUUACUGAAAUGCCAGGACAAGGAGUCAAUCCAAAUGUAGUCACCUAUUCAAUUGUGAUAGCUGCACUUUGCAGAAUGGGUAGGCUGGCUGAUGCAAUGAAUAAGUUCAGUGAGAUGAUUGGUACGGGAGUACAACCGAACAUAGUUGUUUAUCACUCCCUAGUUCAGGGCUUAUGUACACAUGGUGAUUUGGUGAAAGCGAAGGUGUUGAUUUCUGAAAUGAUGAAUAAAGGUAUUGCUCGUCCAAACAUUGCAUUCUUCAGUUCAAUAAUGGGCAGUCUAUGCAACGAAGGAAGGAUUAUGAAUGCACAUGAUAUCUUUGACUUGGUUACAGACAUAGGUGUGAAACCUGAUGUUAUAACAUUUAAUAUGCUGAUGGUCGGAUAUUGCUUAGUUGGCGAGAUGGAGAAAGCAUUCAAGGUACUUGAUGCCAUGGUAUCAGUUGGCAUUGAGCCUGAUGUUGUUACUUAUAGCUCACUUAUUAGUGGCUAUUGUAAGACUGGAAGGCUCGACGAUGGUGUUACACUAUUCAGAGAAAUGUUGCAUAAGAGAAUUAAACCUGACACUGUUUCCUAUAACACCAUACUGGAUGGGUUAUUUAAUGCUGGGAGAACUGCUGCUGCAAGGAAAAUGUUCCAUGAGAUGAUCGAAAGUGGAGUAAUGGUGAGCAUUUCUACAUAUAAUAUAAUUCUUGGAGGACUUUGUAGAAAUAAUUGCAUGGAUGAAGCGAUCGUCCUAUUCCGGAAAUUACGUGCAGUGAAUGUGAAGUUCAAUAUCACAACACUCAAUACCAUCAUCAAUGCAUUAUACAAUGUUCAAAGAAGAGAAGAAGCUCAUGAUUUGUUUGCUGCAUUACCAGCCAGCCGGCUGGUGCCUAAUGCUUCUACUUACAGAGUAAUGAUAGAUAAUCUUCUAAAAGAAGGAGCAGUGGAAGAAGCUGACAGUAUGUUCUCAUCAAUGGAGAAGAGUGGUUGUGCUCCUAGCUCUCAUUUUUUAAAUUAUAUCAUCAGAAUGUUAUUGGAAAAAGGGGAGAUAGUCAAGGCCGGAAAAUAUAUGUCUAAAGUUGAUGGGAAGAUUAUUUUGCUUGAAGCUUCAACUACUUCAUUGCUGAUGUCCCUCUUCUCAAGGGGAGGCAAAUACCAGGAGCACAUACUCUUGCUCCCUGCAAAAUAUCAUUUUUUCAGUGGAGUGAACCACAGUUGA
rnacentral:rRNA from 1 species